ACUCUGCCUUUCUCUUCAUCUUUCCCUUUUUGCCACAGCACCUCCGGAAGCAGAAACUGCAGGUCUUGAUGAAGAGGAGUAAGAAAAACAGAACUAUGGCGAGGAGGAAGGCCAGGACAUCCAGGCUGUGAUACUGGUACCAGCGAACAGAUGCAUAAUGCUGAUUGAGCUGCUCAAUCAUACUUUCUAAAAAGAAAGCCCUCAAGAGGAUCUGCUGUCAUUGUGGGGCUACGUACUCUGUGAGCCAAACACAUCCGUAAAGAGGAGUGUAAUUACCACUAUGGGAAAGGAGUUACAAAGAAAGUGCCAGGUGGAGUGGAGACCCACUACAGCUGUUGUGAGGGAGUCAUGGGAGUUCCAGCAUUAGUCCCGUCUUCCUGUUUCCCAAGUGUUUGAUUCCCCGACUUCCUCGACCUUGUUUCCGUGACUCGAUUCUGUCUUUG